GCACAGCUAGGCUACAGCAUGGAGCAAACAACAGAAUUGCUGGUUCAGUGGAAAAAAGAUGGCUCCAAAAACGUGGUAGUGUAUGGAGAUAUUCAAUGUCCCUGUAUUCCAAUAAAAGGGACAAAAGUCUUCAUGCCUUGGAAAGGCAGGAGAUGGGAGGGAGUUGUCCUGGCAGUGGAUGAUGAGUCUGAGGAAAGUGAUGAUGACAGCAUACCACUUGCUCAACUAAUAAUUAAAGACCAUGUACCUCUACCAGAUCAACCAAGGCUUGACAUUGGAGAUGUUGGUGUCACAAUGACAGACGUGCCUCAUGAAGUUCAGAUGUGUGAACAUUUCACAUGUUUACAUGAAGUGUUUAGUACAUGCUCCCAGUGUCUUGUUUUCCUGUGUGAACACCACUUCAAAGAGGACGACCCAUGUGCAAACCACAAUAACUAAGCUCAUCUACUUCAAAUUCCGGAGAGGCUUUCAGAAGAUCAUCCAGUGAUCGACACAGUUCUGGAAUUGAUGAUGGACGUUCCCUUAGCAAUCAAAGUGCAGGAGACAGUUGACAUAGUUCCAGAGAGAGUGGCUUCUGCCUAUCACACCAUCAAUGCUGAAGUGGAACCCGAUCUACACAGAGAUAUUGGAGAACGUCCUGAACAAUGUGAGGUAAAAGUCUGAAGCUUUAAAAUGGUUGCCUGUUACAAAUUCUGCUCAGGGAGUGGAGAAUUUUCUUUGACAAAGAUAAAUGUAUUUUUGUUGUACCGGAAAAUGGCUGGUGUACAGCUCUUUAGACACAGUAAUUGGAAUAAUUGCUCUACUUCCCUCUGAUUGAGGGGUUC